AACAGGGAUUGCCUUAGUAGCGGCGAGUGAAGCGGCAAAAGCUCAAAUUUGAAAUCUGGCGCCUUCGGUGUCCGAGUUGUAAUUUGAAGAUUGUAACCUUGGGGUUGGCUCUUGUCUAUGUUUCUUGGAACAGGACGUCACAGAGGGUGAGAAUCCCGUGCGAUGAGAUGCCCAAUCCUAUGUAAGGUGCUUUCGAAGAGUCGAGUUGUUUGGGAAUGCAGCUCUAAGUGGGUGGUAAAUUCCAUCUAAAGCUAAAUAUUGGCGAGAGACCGAUAGCGAACAAGUACAGUGAUGGAAAGAUGAAAAGAACUUUGAAAAGAGAGUGAAAAAGUACGUGAAAUUGUUGAAAGGGAAGGGUUUGAGAUCAGACUCGAUAUUUUGUGAGCCUUGCCUUCGUGGCGGGGUGACCCGCAGCUUAUCGGGCCAGCAUCGGUUUGGGCGGUAGGAUAAUGGCGUAGGAAUGUGACUUUACUUCGGUGAAGUGUUAUAGCCUGCGUUGAUGCUGCCUGCCUAGACCGAGGACUGCGAUUUUAUCAAGGAUGCUGG
rnacentral:rRNA from 1 species